rnacentral:rRNA from 1 species
UACAGAGGUCCCAAGCGUUACUGAGAUUCACUGGGUUUAAAGGGUGCGUAGGUGGUGCGUUAAGUCAGUUGUGAAAUCCCCGGGCUCAACCCGGGAAUAGCUUCUGAUACUGGCGUGCUUGAGGCCGGUAUAGGUUACUGGAACGGACGGUGGAGCGGUGAAAUGCGUAGAUAUCGUCUGGAACGCCAGUGGUGAAGAAGGGUAAUUAGGCCGGUUCUGACCGUGAGGCACGAAAGCGUGGGGAGCAAACAGG